rnacentral:rRNA from 1 species
CCAACGCCCUUCGGGGCUCCUUGGUGAAUCAUAAUAACUUAACGAAUCGCAUGGCCUUGCGCCGGCGAUGGUUCAUUCAAAUUUCUGCCCUAUCAACUUUCGAUGGUAGGAUAGUGGCCUACCAUGGUGGCAACGGGUAACGGGGAAUUAGGGUUCGAUUCCGGAGAGGGAGGCUGAGAAACGGCUACCACAUCCAAGGAAGGCAGCAGGCGCGCAAAUUACCCAAUCCCGAUACGGGGAGGUAGUGACAAUAAAUACUGAUACGGGGCUCUUUCGGGUCUCGUAAUUGGAAUGAGAACAAUUUAAAUCCCUUAACGAGGAACAAUUGGAGGGCAAGUCUGGUGCCAGCAGCCGCGGUAAUUCCAGCUCCAAUAGCGUAUAUUAAAGUUGUUGCAGUUAAAAAGCUCGUAGUUGAACCUUGGGCCGGGCUGGCCGGUCCGCCUCACCGCGAGUACUGGUCCGGCUGGGCCUUUCCUUCUGGGGAACCUCAUGGCCUUCACUGGCUGUGGGGGGAACCAGGACUUUUUCUGUGAAAAAAUUAGAGUGUUCAAAGCAGGCCUUUGCUCG